rnacentral:rRNA from 1 species
CCUACGGGGGGCUGCAGUGAGGAAUAUUGGUCAAUGGGAGAGAUCCUGAACCAGCAAAGCCGCGUGAGGGAAGACGGCCCUAUGGGUUGUAACCCUCUUUUGUCGGAGAACAAAACCCGGGACGUGUCCCGGACUGCGUGUAUCCGUAGAUAAAGCAUCGGCUAACUCCGUGCCAGCAGCCGCGGUAAUACGGAGGAUGCGAGCGUUAUCCGGGUUUAUUGGGUUUAAGGGGUGCGAAGCCGGUCCGGUAAGUCCGCGGUAACAUUGCGGGGCGCACCCCCGGCGCGCCGUGGAAACUGGCAGGCUUGAGUUGGCGAGAAGUACGCGGAAUGCGCGGUGUAGCGGUGAAAUGCAUAGAUAUCGCGCAGAACUCCGAUUGCGAAGGCAGCGUACCGGCGCCAGACUGACGCUGAGGCACGAAAGCGUGGGGAUCGAACAGGAUUAGAUACCCCAGUAGUC